rnacentral:rRNA from 1 species
GUCGAGAAUCUUUCACAAUGGGGGCAACCCUGAUGGAGCGACGCCGCGUGGAGGAUAAGGUCUUCGGAUUGUAAACUCCUGUCAUGCGUGAACAAGGUUGCUUGGUUAAUACCUGGGCAAAUUGAUGGUAACGCAACAGGAAGAGACGGCUAACUCUGUGCCAGCAGCCGCGGUAAUACAGAGGUCUCAAGCGUUGUUCGGAAUCACUGGGCGUAAAGGGUGCGUAGGUGGCGUGGUAAGUCAGAUGUGAAAGCCCGGGGCUCAACCUCGGAACUGCAUCCGAUACUGCCAUGCUAGAGUACUGGAGAGGUGACUAGAAUUCUCGGUGUAGCAGUGAAAUGCGUAGAUAUCGAGAGGAAUACCAAAGGCGUAGGCAGGUCACUGGACAGUUACUGACACUGAGGCACGAAGGCCAGGGGAGCGAACGGGAUUAGAUACCCGUGUAGUCC